AGAUGAUAGUAAAAAUAAAGUAAAAGAAGUGAAAGCGAAGGUACCUUGACAAUAUGUAAGGUUUGAAGACAGCGAUCCCUUUCUACUCUAAAAUUUUCCAAAAUUUGUAAUCGACUUCAAUUUGAAUGAUUAUUAGCUUGUUGCAAGGCUAACUUGAAGAUGCUUUUGAUCCAACAAUCUUCAUUGCAAUCUAAUGAUUCAGUGU
rnacentral:lncRNA from 1 species